GUACACGCUGUGACUAGCAUAUCAAUAAGCGGAGGAAAAGAAACUAACAAGGAUUCCCCUAGUAACGGCGAGUGAAGCGGGAAGAGCUCAAAUUUGAAAUCUUAAAGGGUUUCCCUUUACGAAUUGUAGUUUAAAGAAGUGUUUUCUGUUGAGGUUUUGGUAAAAGUUCUUUGGAAUAGGACAUCAUAGAGGGUGAGAAUCCCGUAUUUGACCUUUACUUUCAACUUUGUGAUACACUUUCAAAGAGUCGGAUUGUUUGGGAAUGCAGUCCAAAAUGGGUGGUAAAUUUCAUCUAAAGCUAAAUAUUGGCGAGAGACCGAUAGCGAACAAGUACCGUGAGGGAAAGAUGAAAAGAACUUUGAAAAGAGAGUUAAACAGUACGUGAAAUUGUCAAAAGGGAGGCGUUUGACACCAGUGUUGUUUUUCUGAAAAUCAAUUAAAGAACUGUUUAUGCUAAGUUGUUUAGACUUUAUCAGCUAACUGUUUAGUUUUGAGCUUUUCUUUAAUGCACUUUUCAGUUAACAAGUCAACAUCAAUUUCUUUUGCUGUAAAAAAGCUUGAGGAAGGUGGCUUGAGAUUCGUCUUAAGUGUUUAUAGCCUCUUGCCUAUGCAGUCGGAGAGAUUGAGGUCUGCAGCGUAGAUCCUUCGGGGCUAAAUGCAUUUGUGCUAAGUUAUAACAUUUUAUAGACAACUUGUUGACUAUGAUUUGUCUUGUAGCUUACUCGCUUAUGUUAUUUUACCUACGCUUAGGAUGUUGACAGCAGUAUAGACUGU
rnacentral:rRNA from 1 species